AUAGCGUAUAUUAAAGUUGUUGCAGUUAAAAAGCUCGUAGUUGGAUUUCUGGUUGGAGCGACCGGUCGGGCAUUGAUUUGUCUGCACUGGAGUUGGUUCCGUCCAUCCUCUUGGAAAGUGCGUAUGGCAUUAAGUUGUCGUGCGUAUGAUCCAGGUCUUUUACUGUGAAAAAAUUAGAGUGUUUAAAGCAGGCCUUCGCCUUGAAUACAUUAGCAUGGAAUAAUAAGAUAGGACUUGGGUCUAUUUUGUUGGUUUGCAGACCGAAGUAAUGAUUAAUAGGGAUAGUUGGGGGUAUUUAUAUUCCGAUGUCAGAGGUGAAAUUCUUAGAUUUUCGGAAGAUAAACUUAUGCGAAAGCAUUUACCAAGGAUGUUUUCAUUAAUCAAGAACGAAAGUUAGGGGAUCGAAGAUGAUUAGAUACCAUCGUAGUCUUAACCAUAAACUAUGCCGACUCAGGAUUGGUGAACGUUGAUUUAAUGACUUCAUCAGCACUGUAUGAGAAAUCAAAGUCUUUGGGUUCCGGGGGGAGUAUGGUCGCAAGGCUGAAACUUA
rnacentral:rRNA from 1 species